rnacentral:rRNA from 1 species
UACGGGGGGGGCAAGCGUUGUUCGGAAUUACUGGGCGUAAAGGGCUUGUAGGUGGCCAACUAAGUCAGACGUGAAAUCCCUCAGCUUAACUGGGGAACUGCGUCUGAUACUGGAUGGCUUGAGUUUGGGAGAGGGAUGCGGAAUUCCAGGUGUAGCGGUGAAAUGCGUAGAUAUCUGGAGGAAUACCGGUGGCGAAGGCGGCAUCCUGGACCGACAUUGACGCUGAGGAGCGAAAGCUAGGGGAGCAAACGGG